AACAGCAUGGUUUAGUGGACUGAAUGUUGGACUAUUACUCUGGAGACCAGGGUUCGAAUCGCUGCUCAGCCA